rnacentral:tRNA from 1 species
GCCUGGGUGGCUCAAUCAGUUGAGCAUCUGAUUUUGGCUCAGGUCAUGAUCUCACGGUUUGUGAGUUCGAGUCCUGCAUCGGGCU